CCGAUGGUGAGAGUGGCGCACGGGUGCGUAACGCGUGAGCAACCUGCCCAUAUCAGGGGGAUAGCCCGGAGAAAUCCGGAUUAACACCGCAUGACACUGCUUUCCGGCAUCGGGAGGUAGUCAAAUAUUCAUAGGAUAUGGAUGGGCUCGCGUGACAUUAGCUAGUUGGUGGGGUAACGGCCCACCAAGGCGACGAUGUCUAGGGGCUCUGAGAGGAGAAUCCCCCACACUGGUACUGAGACACGGACCAGACUCCUACGGGAGGCAGCAGUAAGGAAUAUUGGUCAAUGGGGGCAACCCUGAACCAGCCAUGCCGCGUGCAGGACGACUGCCCUAUGGGUUGUAAACUGCUUUUGUUAGGGAAUAAACCCCGCUACGUGUAGCGGGCUGAAUGUACCUAAAGAAUAAGGAUCGGCUAACUCCGUGCCAGCAGCCGCGGUAAUACGGAGGAUCCGAGCGUUAUCCGGAUUUAUUGGGUUUAAAGGGUGCGUAGGCGGCACUUUAAGUCAGGGGUGAAAGACGGCAGCUCAACUGUCGCAGUGCCCUUGAUACUGAAGUGCUUGAAUGCGGUUGAAGACGGCGGAAUGAGACAAGUAGCGGUGAAAUGCAUAGAUAUGUCUCAGAACACCGAUUGCGAAGGCAGCUGUCUAAGCCGUUAUUGACGCUGAUGCACGAAAGCGUGGGGAUCGAACAGGAUUAGAUACCCUGG
rnacentral:rRNA from 1 species